UACAGAGGGGGCAAGCGUUUGUUCGGAAUUACUGGGCGUAAAGGGCGCGUAGGCGGCCUGUUAAGUCGAACGUGAAAUCCCCGGGCUCAACCCGGGAACUGCGUCCGAUACUGGCAGGCUUGAAUCCGGGAGAGGGAUGCAGAAUUCCAGGUGUAGCGGUGAAAUGCGUAGAUAUCUGGAGGAAUACCGGUGGCGAAGGCGGCAUCCUGGACCGGCAUUGACGCUGAGGCGCGAAGGCCAGGGGAGCAA
rnacentral:rRNA from 1 species